rnacentral:ribozyme from 12 species
AGUCUUCAGCUUGGGAGCAGCACUGCGACCUGAUACUUGAGCUUGAUUGAGUGCAAUAUUUUUGGCGUUUGUA